rnacentral:rRNA from 1 species
GCAGUCGAGCGAACAGAUGAAGUGCUUGCACUUCUGACGUUAGCGGCGAACGGGUGAGUAACACGUAAGGAAUCUACCUAUAAGCGGGGGAUAACAUUCGGAAACGGGUGCUAAUACCGCAUAAUAUCUUCUUCCGCAUGGAAGAAGAUUGAAAGACGGCUCUGCUGUCACUUAUAGAUGACCUUGCGGUGCAUUAGUUAGUUGGUGGGGUAAUGGCCUACCAAGACGAUGAUGCAUAGCCGACCUGAGAGGGUGAUCGGCCACAUUGGGACUGAGACACGGCCCAAACUCCUACGGGAGGCAGCAGUAGGGAAUCUUCCGCAAUGGGCGAAAGCCUGACGGAGCAAUGCCGCGUGAGUGAAGAAGGCCUUCGGGUCGUAAAACUCUGUUAUAAGAGAAGAACAAAUUGUAGAGUAACUGCUACAGUCUUGACGGUAUCUUAUCAGAAAGCCACGGCUAACUACGUGCCAGCAGCCGCGGUAAUACGUAGGUGGCAAGCGUUGUCCGGAUUUAUUGGGCGUAAAGGGAGCGCAGGUGGUUUCUUAAGUCUGAUGUGAAAGCCCACGGCUUAACCGUGGAGGGUCAUUGGAAACUGGGAAACUUGAGUACAGAAGAGGAAUGUGGAACUCCAUGUGUAGCGGUGGAAUGCGUAGAUAUAUGGAAGAACACCAGUGGCGAAGGCGACAUUCUGGUCUGUUACUGACACUGAGGCUCGAAAGCGUGGGGAGNAAACAGGAUUAGAUACCCUGGUAGUCCACGCCGUAAACGAUGAGUGCUAGGUGUUGGAGGGUUUCCGCCCUUCAGUGCCGCAGUUAACGCAUUAAGCACUCCGCCUGGGGGAGU